AGAUCAGUACGCUGGUCGUGCCUUUGGUAUGCACUGGUGUCACUGGUUUCUCCCUUCUGAAGAACUGUCAAGCCAUUCAGUUGGUGUGGCGGGGAAUCAGGACUGUUACUUUGAAAAAUUAGAAGUGUUUAAAGCAGGCUCGCGCUUGAAUACAUUAGCAUGGAAUAAUGAAAUAGGACGUUUGACCCUAUUUUGUUGGUUUCUAGGAUCGACGUAAUGAUUAAUAGGGAUGAGUUGGGC
rnacentral:rRNA from 1 species